AUGAUCUUCAUAAGCUUCCAUUGUGAACUGGAAAAUUUCUUUUUCAAUUUCUUUAAUUGCGAGCCCCUUGGGGUUACACCAGAUGUUGGAGAAGGAAGCUUGAAGGGAGUCUCUGUGGAUAAGCUUACUAGUUAUAAUUCUGCCCAAAAUGGAGGGUUUGAGGCAAGUAUAAUGUCUUGGAUUUCAUCUUCCUCAUAG